GGAAUAUUGGACAAUGGGCGAAAGCCUGAUCCAGCCAUGCCGCGUGUGUGAAGAAGGUCUUCGGAUUGUAAAGCACUUUAAGUUGGGAGGAAGGGCAGUAAGUUAAUACCUUGCUGUUUUGACGUUACCGACAGAAUAAGCACCGGCUAACUUCGUGCCAGCAGCCGCGGUAAUACGAAGGGUGCAAGCGUUAAUCGGAAUUACUGGGCGUAAAGCGCGCGUAGGUGGUUUGUUAAGUUGAAUGUGAAAGCCCCGGGCUCAACCUGGGAACUGCAUCCAAAACUGGCAAGCUAGAGUAUGGCAGAGGGUGGUGGAAUUUCCUGUGUAGCGGUGAAAUGCGUAGAUAUAGGAAGGAACACCAGUGGCGAAGGCGACCACCUGGGCUACUACUGACACUGAGGUGCGAAAGCGUGGGGAGCAAA
rnacentral:rRNA from 1 species